UCGUAACAAGGUCUCCGUUGGUGAACCAGCGGAGGGAUCAUUACCGAGUUUACAACUCCCAAACCCAUGUGAACAUACCUACUGUUGCUUCGGCGGGAUUGCCCCGGGCGCCUCGUGUGCCCCGGAUCAGGCGCCCGCCUAGGAAACUUAAUUCUUGUUUUAUUUUGGAAUCUUCUGAGUAGUUUUUACAAAUAAAUAAAAACUUUCAACAACGGAUCUCUUGGUUCUGGCAUCGAUGAAGAACGCAGCGAAAUGCGAUAAGUAAUGUGAAUUGCAGAAUUCAGUGAAUCAUCGAAUCUUUGAACGCACAUUGCGCCCGCCAGUAUUCUGGCGGGCAUGCCUGUCUGAGCGUCAUUUCAACCCUCAUGCCCCUAGGGCGUGGUGUUGGGGAUCGGCCAAAGCCCGCGAGGGACGGCCGGCCCCUAAAUCUAGUGGCGGACCCGUCGUGGCCUCCUCUGCGAAGUAGUGAUAUUCCGCAUCGGAGAGCGACGAGCCCCUGCCGUUAAACCCCCAACUUUCCAAGGUUGACCUCAG
rnacentral:misc_RNA from 1 species